AACUGCUUCAAUGCAAUUUUAAUAUUGUUACCAGGAAAGAAGCAGCAUUAAUAGCACAGGGGGAAAAGGCCUAUUUAUGUAGCAUUUAGAAAGAUGACAGAAUACAAGGCUGAUUUGCAUCUUUAUUCUUUCCCUCCUUCGGGUCGUCUGUCCGCACACCCCCACCUCCUUCUCCCGCCGCCCUUCUUCCUUCAGUUUUUCCCAUCUUCCUUAUUAUCGUCUUUUACAUUUUUGGCAUUCUCUUGCCAUGAGACUCAACUCUAUUCCUUAUAGGUAGCACUGGUAAGCCACAGCUCUGAACUGCUUUAUUUUGUAAAGCAGAGACUUCUACGGGGUUAAGUUUGUUGAGCAACAGAUCUACCUAAGAUUCUGUUUCACUGGGAUACCAGCCUCCCACUCCUGAAUCACAGGCUCUCACACAAUAGGAGUCGUUGAAGCCCUCUGUUCCCAGGUCUGGUGGCUGGGAAACCUGACAAAGCCGCGGCCCGCGCAGGGCACCUUCAGCUCCGAGGGCGGGACCCGGCCGGGAAGCCAGCCUGAGUGCGCCGGCGCCCACCCAGCGCGGCGCUCCAGGACCUUCUAGGGGCUUCUCGACUUUUCCUCAGUUAGCUGGAGUAGGGGGGUGCUCCCUCAGCUCCAGUAUUCCUCAGCACUGCUUCUCUGUUAUUUCUUUACCCUUACCUUCAGCAUCAGCCCCCUGCCCACUCCGACCCCCAAGAGGCCCCCAGCCCGGCCGUGACCCCGAGGAGCCUCUCCUCGCUGGGACUCCUGAGGACAGGGUCCUGCGCUGGGUCCCCAGAGAGCCUUCCUCCUUCGCCCCCCUCCCGGGCACCCAGGCGAAGGGCAGCGGGGGAGCCCGGGAAGGGGAGCGGGAAGAGGGGAGCGGGAAGGGCGCGGGGCCAGGCGGGAGGAGAGGAGCAGAGGCCAGACAGGGGCUCUCGGUUUCCCGGGGUCUGAUUGGAGGUUGGCCCGAUGAGUCGGAGCUGGGGGCGCGCCCAUCUCCGCUGGCUCCUGCGAGAGCCGCCCGCUCGGCCCCUCCCCGGAGCCGCUUUGUCCCGGGUGACGGCGGCGGAGGUUGCGGCGAGCAGAGGGCGGGAGGCAGAGACCCGCCGACCCGCGGAGCCGGAGCCGGAGCCCGAGCCGGAGCCCGGGAGGCGGGGCGCGCCGCGCACGGCCCCACGCCCAGGCCCGCGGGCACCGCGCCCGUCCCCGCGCGCGCUCGGCCCGGCCGCCAGGUGAGCAGCCGCGCCGCGCCCGCAGUCGCCGGCCCCGCCGACCGACCGACCGCCCAGCCAUCGCCUCCGCCUCCGCCGGCGCAUCGCGGACGCCCAGCAGGAAUGAGGGGAGAUUCUUACUUCAUUGGGAUGAGGAGCCUGGGGCAGCAGGGCCACAUCCCGGAAGAUGGAGGACUGUUCUUGCUCUGCUGCAUAGACAGAGACUGGGCCGUGACUCAGUGUUUCACGGAGGAGGCCUUUCAAGCCAUCACGGACUUCACCGACCUCCCCAACUCACUCUUUGCGUGCAACGUCCACCAGUCGGUGUUUGAAGGGGAAGAAAGCAAGAAGAAAUUUC
ensembl:lincRNA